AAAGUGCCAUUUCCAUGGACAGGUCACCUUGUUGAAGACAUACCCUACCUAUCAGAGCUACGCUGCUCUUCCAAAGGAGGAUGAAACAAGCGUUACAGAUUCUUUCCUCUUACCUCUCACACUGAUAAAAGACAAGCAGGGAGGAAGAAAGGACUCCCUACCAUGGACCCAUCUUGCAGUUGUCAUUCAUAUGAAACACAAAGUAGAAACAUGAUCGUCUUUCCAAGUUUGUAAAAGAGGCCAGUGAAUCACAUUCUGCAAGAAGAAGAGAGUUUCCUAAAUGAGGGAGAUGUGCUUUUUUUCUCCUUGUCCUGUUGUUGGCAAAGCCUGAAAGUGGACUUCAACUUCACAGUGAAUUUUUACACUCUGGAUGGGCAAGAGUGUUUCAGGAGCUUGGUUUCUUCCCACUGUCUGCCCCCAAAAGAACAGAAAAGAUUGAGAUUUUCUGAAGCUGAACUGACUGACUAUUCAGUGAUUCACAGGGCAAUUGACUUGGGUAAGUCAUUUGAAACAAUUUUACAAAGAAACAGGAUUUACUUUGACUUUAACACAUCACUUUUUUUUUUGACACAUCACUUCUUUAAAAUAUCAAAAAUAUUUUACUAAAAAAAGCAAAAUCACUCACAGAAAUUGUGUAUCACUUAGAGAUGCACUUGCCUGACUAUGUUACUGAGCAAGCAUAACAGGGCUGUAAUAACACAUGCCCCCCUUUUGGAUAUGUUUUUGGAGACAGGUGGGAAAACACUGCUUGUUUUGUUAUUGUUUGUUUGAUUUGUUAAAACUGAUAUUUCAUGUCUUUUUGGUGAGAAAGUUUUUGGUUCACAUGAAAGAUAUUUUUCUGAAUCCUGAAUGAUGUCCAGUCCUUUUAGCUCCCUUUUGUUUAUUGAGUUUCCCCUCUAGAUAUCUCAGACACAACCCUACUUACCCUUCCUCUGUGGAACAUUUCCAAAAACUUUCUCACCAAAAAGGAAUGAAUUCUCAAAUAACUACUAAAUUGAGUAGGAUUUUAAGUCUAAACACUUCAUUAAUUUCCUUCCUUCAUUGAAGAGCAGAUGUUUCAGAGAAGAAAUUAUGAUCCAAUAAAUUGAACUGUAAGAAUGUAACUUCUUUACUUCUUGAUUUCCAGCUGCACAGCUGGGUCCCAUUGUGUUCCUCAUCUGUGGAUGCGUUCAAGCAGAGUUCGGAUGAUGACUUGGGUGAGAUGUUCUAGCAGAACUUUUGGUUCGGACGGGUGGGCUCUCCAUAUGGUCUAAAAGCCACCCUUCCAAUCCUGAGUUUUCAUGAUUUGUUUUUUCAACAUCUUAAG
ensembl:lncRNA